UGCGUAGGCGGUUGGACAAGUCGGAUGUGAAAGCCCCGGGCUUAACCUGGGAAUUGCAUUCGAUACUGUUCAGCUAGAGUGCGAUAGAGGAUGGUGGAACUCCAGGUGUAGCGGUGAAAUGCGUAGAUAUCUGGAAGAACACCAGUGGCGAAGGCGGCCAUCUGGAUCGCAACUGACGCUGAGGCACGAAAGCGUGGGGAGCAAACA
rnacentral:rRNA from 1 species